GAUCAUGGCUCAGGACGAACGCUGGCGGCGUGCCUAACACAUGCAAGUCGAACGGAGUUACUGUUAGAUCCCUCGGGGUGACGAACUUUAACUUAGUGCGGACGGGUGAGUAACGCGUGAGUAACCUGCCUCUGAGAGGGGAAUAACGUUCUGAAAAAGAUCGCUAAUACCGCAUAACAUAUCGAAGUCGCAUGACUUUGAUAUCAAAGAUUUUAUCGCUCGGAGAUGGACUCGCGUCCGAUUAGCUAGUUGGCGGGGUAACGGCCCACCAAGGCGACGAUCGGUAGCCGGACUGAGAGGUUGAUCGGCCACAUUGGGACUGAGACACGGCCCAGACUCCUACGGGAGGCAGCAGGUGGGGGAUAUUGCGCAAGUGGGGGCAACCCUGACGCAGCAACGCCGCGUGAAGGAAGACGGUUUUCGGAUUGUAAACUUCUUUUGUCAGGGACGAAUUCUGACGGUACCUGACGAAUAAGCUCCGGCUAACUACGUGCCAGCCGCUGC
rnacentral:rRNA from 1 species